rnacentral:sRNA from 1 species
GUGUUGUUGGCUCAGCGGCGCUUCGAGUUAUGUCGAUGAAUGAGAUCGAGUGUGUGUGUUUACCGAGAGUUCGUAGAGGCCGGUGUUUGAAAGCCAUUAAUAAUUAAUCCAUACUACCUGUGUAUACAAGAAAGUCUUAAUACCAUUUGCCAAGACUUGUAUAAAUAUACGUUUUUCAUCUGCUUAGAUGGGGUCAUGUAGAGUUGUCUCAGCAUAUCAAAGCGGAACAAGGUCACAAUGGGGACGGACUCGGUUUUACAAUCAAUGUGGGCGCACUCGAUUCUGUGGAUGAUAAAAUUCACUACCAGCUAAGAAUUUUGGUUUCGUCAAGAUGAAUCACAGUAUACCGUAAAUUUCCUCAAUUUUAUGCACAACAUACGUCCACGAUUACAAUCUUGUGCGGCGAGCAAAUGAAAUAAAUUUAGUUGCUAUAAAUAAACAUCCCGUUCUAAAUUUAACUUACGUUGUGGAUUUGACCUUUGUCAGCCGUGCCCCGGGCCAGUGUAUCCAACGGUUGAAGCAUAUGAGGGUGCAAAAUUUAAACAGAUAAAAAAAGCAAAUGUGAGACAUAAAUUUGCAUAUUUGAAGCAGCCACCCAAACAAUAAUGGAAUUUACAAGCUCUAAAAAUAUUGCACAUUGACACGGUGCUGAGUUUGCAUAUUUUGUCGAAGUUACUGAUGUUUGCUACAUUUAGACAUGAAAAAAAAAUCAAUUUAACUUCAAUUUUAAUUGCGAUUUUUAAAUAAAUGAUCGAUAUAUAC